GACGAACGCUGGCGGCGUGCCUAAUACAUGCAAGUUGAGCGCUGAAGGUUGGUACUUGUACCAACUGGAUGAGCAGCGAACGGGUGAGUAACGCGUGGGGAAUCUGCCUUUGAGCGGGGGACAACAUUUGGAAACGAAUGCUAAUACCGCAUAAAAACUUUAAACACAAGUUUUAAGUUUGAAAGAUGCAAUUGCAUCACUCAAAGAUGAUCCCGCGUUGUAUUAGCUAGUUGGUGAGGUAAAGGCUCACCAAGGCGAUGAUACAUAGCCGACCUGAGAGGGUGAUCGGCCACAUUGGGACUGAGACACGGCCCAAACUCCUACGGGAGGCAGCAGUAGGGAAUCUUCGGCAAUGGACGAAAGUCUGACCGAGCAACGCCGCGUGAGUGAAGAAGGUUUUCGGAUCGUAAAACUCUGUUGGUAGAGAAGAACGUUGGUGAGAGUGGAAAGCGCAUCAAGUGACGGUAACUAACCAGAAAGGGACGGCUAACUACGU
rnacentral:rRNA from 1 species